AUUGAACGCUGGCGGCAGGCCUAACACAUGCAAGUCGAGCGAGCGGCGGACGGGUGAGUAAUGUCUGGGAAACUGCCUGAUGGAGGGGGAUAACUACUGGAAACGGUAGCUAAUACCGCAUACCAUCAGAUGUGCCCAGAUGGGAUUAGCUAGUCGGUGGGGUAACGGCUCACCUAGGCGACUAUCCCUAGCUGGUCUGAGAGGAUGACCAGGCACAGUGGGACGGGGAAAGGGUCCAGUCGCAUACGUGAGGCAGCAGUGGGGAAUAUUGCACAGUGGACACAAGCCUAGAGCAGCCAUGCCGCGUGUGUGAAGAAGGCCUUCGGGUUGUAAAACACUUUCAGCGGGGAGGCGUUACCGGCGGAAGAAGCACCGGCUAACUCCGUGCCAGCCGCGGCGGUAAUUC
rnacentral:rRNA from 1 species